rnacentral:misc_RNA from 1 species
AAGUCGUAACAAGGUCUCCGUAGGUGAACCUGCGGAGGGAUCAUUAACACGUUACCAUAACGUUUUAUAUUAUACCAACCAACCGCGUGAAUUAAUUGAAUUAUUAAAAUCCGACCUGAGAGUUAGAAAGUCUGUCUGGAAUACACGGAGUGAUGAGUGUGUAUGUACGCAAGUACAUGCAUACGGUGUAUCCAGGCUUGUAGUGCUUUGACAUUACGGACCUCUCUCUUUCAGGCUUUCAACACAACUGUUCCCUUCAUCGCUGGAACGAACAAACCCCUUUCACCCCUUUAUAACUAACUAGACUGAUAUUUUAUACCAUGCGCUUGCGUUAUGUGUAUGAAUGAUUUAAUCAAAUAUCUAAGCACAACUCUUAGCAACGGAUAUCUUGGUUCUC